rnacentral:rRNA from 1 species
AUGCCAUGGGAAGGUUACAAUUUUGAAGACGCAGUACUAAUUAGCGAACGUUUGGUAUAUGAAGAUAUUUAUACCUCUUUUCACAUCCGGAAAUAUGAAAUUCAGACGGAUACGACAAGCCAGGGCUCCGCUGAAAAAUCACUAAAGAAAUACCACAUCUAG